rnacentral:misc_RNA from 1 species
AACACUGUUAACCUGCGGUACCUGCGGAGGGAUCAUUAUAGUAUAUGGAAUCUCCAUUCUAUAAACCCACUCUGCGUAUCUUGUAACUGUUGCUUCCAUGGGACUUGGUUCCGCCACACCGGCUUCACGGCUGGUGAGCGCCCAUGGAAGGAGAAACAAGACUCUUCUUUGAAAUGUAGUCAGUCUGAACAAGUUUUUAUAAACGUUAAAACUUUCAGCAACGGAUCUCAGAUCGGAAGA